ACGAACGCUGGCGGCGUGCUUAACACAUGCAAGUCGAACGGAAAGGCCCUGCUUUUGUGGGGUGCUCGAGUGGCGAACGGGUGAGUAACACGUGAGUAACCUGCCCCUGACUUUGGGAUAACUUCAGGAAACUGGGGCUAAUACCGGAUAGGAGCUCCUGCUGCAUGGAGGGGGUUGGAAAGUUUCGGCGGUUGGGGAUGGACUCGCGGCUUAUCAGCUUGUUGGUGGGGUUGUGGCUUACCAAGGCUUUGACGGGUAGCCGGCCUGAGAGGGUGACCGGCCACAUUGGGACUGAGAUACGGCCCAUACUCCUCCGGGAGGCAGCAGUGGGGAAUAUUGCACAAUGGGCGGAAGCCUGAUGCAGCAACGCCGCGUGCGGGAUGACGGCCUUCGGGUUGUAAACCGCUUUCGCCUGUGACGAAGCGUGAGUGACGGUAAUGGGUAAAGAAGCACCGGCUAACUACGUG
rnacentral:rRNA from 1 species